rnacentral:snRNA from 1 species
CACAAGCUCAUAAUAGUCUUUUU